ensembl:lncRNA
CUCUCUCUCUCUCUGUCUCCCCCUCUUUCUUUCUGCCUCCUCCUCUCUCUCUCUCUGUCUCCCCCUCUUUCUUUCUGCCUCCUCCUCUCUCUCUCUGUCUCCCCCUCUUUCUUUCUGCCUCUUCCUCUCUCUCUCUCUGUCUCCCCCUCUUUCUUUCUGCCUCCUCCUCUCUCUCUCUCUCUGUCUCCCCCUCUUUCUUUCUGCCUCCUCCUCUCUCUCUCUCUCUGUCUCCCCCUCUCUGUCUCUGUAUGCCACCCUCACCGCUUAAAGAAUUAGGAAGCAAGAAGUGGAUCCAGUAGAACGGGUAGACAUAUACAGUACAUGUAUAGCUGGAGUUCUGCGAACAUACGGACAAACUUCCAUGCAAACACACACCCCAGUCUGUGGUAUUCACACAGAAAGCAUACCGUACACAUAUGAUCCAAGCAUCUUCAUAUCGACCUGCGUCACUAAUGUCAGAGUCUCCAGAACGGCUUCUUAUUUUGCAUACUGUACUUUUCAAGCUCGGGCCGUGGGCCCUUAGACGGCAGGUACCACCUCAAGUGGCAAUUAGUGGCGCCAUUCAGGUACCCAUGCAUCACCCCCCUCUCUAAAAACAUACUCUACCCUGCUCCUCUUUCCCUGUCUCUCACCUACCACACUCUUGUUCACAAAGAGGCGUCCAUCAAAAAUCAAGAACUUAUCUCACGGUUUUGCUCUAAGGAGAGGCAGUGAGGCAGCGUUUCUCCUCCAGCCCUGUGUGUUUUCCUCCUGUACAAAGUGUACAGUGUUUGCUGAUUUAUUUGCCGUUCACCUGGGGGAAAAAUGUGUCCGUCUAUUUGUUUGGUGAUUCUUUUGUUAGUUUUAUUAGCUGAUUAGUCGAUUUAGGUUCAUUCUAUUUCCACUGGUCUGAUUACUUUGUGUGGUGAGGCUAGUUCCAUCUAGUUGUUUUUCUGGUGUUUGAAAGUGUUAGAAUAUAUCUUUUUAAUUCUGGUCAAAUCUAAGGAUGAUGUAUUGUAAAUUAGUCGUUUUGUUGACUUCAAUGCCAUGCAUUAUAAGUGUGGCCAGCUUUAACGAAACUGAGGUGUCCCCAGCGAGUCAGAGGCCCCAAGCAAAUGCGUAUUGCUCAAGAGCCCAACCCACAACAUCCCUCUGCUCUGCUUAGAUAAACUGUAUGCUGUGCUAAUCAAGCUUCACAGUAUUUGGUUUGCAGAUAAAACACAACUGAUUUGCAGUUGUUUGAUUAUUUCUAGUGCUAGCUGUAGCUGGACAGUGCUAAGUAUUGUAGCAUAAAUUGUCCACAAAGAUGGGGAUAUUGUGUAAAUGAUCUGUAGAAAAAGUGACUGUCACCUGGACCUGUUAGUACACUCAGUCUUUGCAAUACUGGUAGCCGUCUCGCAUCUCUGUUCCCUUUUUGUAUACAUUGGUGCCAAUUGAAGAUUGAAUUUGUUAGCCGAUUGAGUUUCCCUAUUCAUUAGACUUGAUGUUUGGUGAGCUUUUUGAAAUACUUGCCACUGUUCUGUACUGUAAUCCCAAUUGAACAGCUGUUGGUUAAAGAUGGAGAUUCUAACAAGGAAAUAGCAAUCAGCCACAGCGAUUGUUUGUUGAUUCGACAAAAGAUCUGCGCCAGUCUUUUUGCUCUAGUAUGGGCCACCGUACUUUUUCCUUCCACACUGCCGCCUGCAGUGAAAGAGGAUUUUUAUCCCACGUUUCUGAUUUCUCUCUCUCUCUGUCAUUCAUUUCAUUUUAUUCUCCUCGUUUUUUCCCAGCCUGGAUUCUCAGAUGGUUGGUUCUGAUUUGCAUGUAUUUGCAUAAUGAAUGUAAUUUGCAUGCUCAGGGGCAGACCAUACCAUGAGGACGAGUAUGUUGGCUGCUUGUGUGUGUGUGUGUGUGUGUGUGUGUGUGUGUGUGUGUGUGUGUGUGUGUGUGUGUGUGUGUGUGUGUGUGUGUGUGUGUGUGUGUGUGUGCAUAGCUUUUGCGUGUGUGGAAUAUAGCAAAAAUAGUCAGGUCAUCUUGUUGUUCAUCCAUAGUGUGUAUAUCAAAUGUUUACAUUGUUUUUUGUGCACAUUUUGACAUUUACAUCUCCUCCAAAUAUUAAUAGUUUAGUAAUUAUUUAAGCAUGCGCGAUAUGUGUCAGUGUAUGGAUGUUUGUGGGUGUGAGUGCAUGUGCGUGAACCUGAGCAAGACAUGCAGGCAUGUCCCACUCAUUGGCCAGUAGACCUGACAAUCAUCUCCCUUCCUCUAUCCCUCCCAUCCCCCUAUCUUCCUGUCCUGGUAACCAUUCUGUAAUGCACUGACUAAAUGAAAGAGAUUCACUUCUCUAUCCCAGCAUCCUUCACUCCCUCCCUCCUCUCCCUCCCUCCCUAGUUUGCCCCCCUUCUCCUGCACAACGAGUCACAGCCCUGCUGCCACCAUCUUAGAUUAGGACAAGGACUGGCACAAAAUGGCAGUAAGUAAAAAUAACAUGGGUAGUGUUAUUUUAGUGUCCUAUUCCUAACCCUGAGCCUUCCAACCAUCGCGCUUUGGACCCCCCCCUCGCCUUCCCGCACCAUUGGCUGCCUCGAGACAGUGUUAAUUACUGGCAGUGUGUUAAUUGCAUAGAUCGCACCGAGGGACAUGGGAGGAGGGGAUGUGAUCUGAGUUAAUCACGAAGCCAUUUGAUUUUUUUUUUUUAAAUGUCUUUUAAGCUGGCAUUCUGAGGGGCAGCUGUGGUCUUCUUCAUUCUCAUGCAGUGAUCGUUGUGCCCUUCUUUGCGAUGAGGCUGCAAAUGGCGUCGUUCAGCCAUUUUGUGAAUUCGAAACCGCUUGCGAAGAGGAAUUUAUUUUACCUGACUUAUUUCGGCGACAUUAAUUCAAUCAAUUGAGGGUGUUUUAAUUAGGAGUGCAUAUUAAUGACUUAACACGGUGGGUCUAUUUGCAUAUGGGGCAUGCAAGCGUUCUAUAUUCAUGGAGCAUGUAGAUGAGGAUGGUUAAAUCAUGUGAAAGAUAACCAGCUACACACACCUAUACACAUCAUUUUAUCAACACAAACCACAGUAUAUACACGCAUAGACACUAGAGACAAACACACACACAAAUACACACACGGUCUACAAUACCCUCACACAGAAUAUUAACUCAAAAAUCUUGAGCACAUGCCUUAAUACACUCACACAAUUUUACAAAUAUACAUAAAACUAUAUUUUGUACACAGACUUAUUGGACAUUUGAUUCACUGACAGUUGAUGCAAGGACAGUUCUUAUUUCAACUGAACUUCAAUCAAUGUGCUAUUGACAAAAAAUAGCUUUGGGGAAAAGCAGAGUCACACCCCUUUUACUAGCAAGUACUUCAUGUUGUCAGGUGACAGAAUUGGUUUAAUCCCGAGAAAAACUACUAUAUGAGUUUCGAGGAAACCGGUCGAAGAGGGAUGCACCAACGGACAUACCAAGAAAAUGAAGUCACACACACUGACAAGAUGUUCUCCAACGUCUGGUGACCCAUCACAUUGAAGUUAUGUCACAGCCAGUCCACCACCUUCCAACGGCCACCCCACCUCACCAAUGGUGAUGUCCAUUUCUGAACAUAGUGGUUCCCGCCUGACCUAAAUGGAACCGGAUUGGCUCCUCUUCCAUUUUUUUCUGCCCCAAUAUUUAAACCUGAAGCACUUUGUGGGCGUUGAACGAUCUCCUUUUGGUUGGGGUGAACUUUAGGCACAUGCCUGGACAUGCCUGACAAACUGAACAUGGGGUAAUGUACUGUUGGGUCAUGGAUAGAGUGGAUACUCAACCACAGCUGCCUCUGUGGGCCUAGUCCCCAGACCGUCUUUGGAUACACCAAUCAGAGGAGAAGUUGAAAUGGACUACUGUGCACUAGUGUGUCUCUAUCCUCCUAUAACUAACUGACUGGAUACAUGGACAGAAAUGGAGGGUGUGAGAUGUCUGUGUUCUGUGUUGUGAUGGUACACUGUCUUCUCUGAGACGGCUCUACACACAGCUGUGUCUGUCACAUCUGCAAUACAUUCGACACGGGUCAGCAUGCUGAUCUGAUCAUGUGUGCUGUGCUUGUUUGUGUAUGUGUGCUGGUUUGUCUAAGUACAUACACUUUGAGUCACCCUCACUCAGCGCAAGUUCUGUUCUGGGAUUGUAAGCAACACACACACACGCACACGCACAAGCACACACACGCACGCACGCACACACACACACACACACACACACACGCACACGCACACGCACACGCACACGCACGCACGCACGCACACACACACACACACACACACACACACACACACACACACACACACACACACACACACACACAAAUCACAUCACAUCACAAAUCACAUCACAAAUCAUAGUAAAUGUAUUUUAACCUCCUUAUGGUUAACGGACAUAGGAUUUAUCAUGUGCUUAUGCUACCUGGCAAAAAUAACAUUUGACACUGGAGGAGGUUGUAUGGUUUAGUAGUAGAAUCGCACUGCACCACUGAUUUUAUUAUCAAGGGGAGGUUACAACUGGCAAAUAAGUAUUUUAUUGGACAGCCCACAUAGUAUUCAGAUGAUGUAUGUAUAGAUAGAACACGUACAAUGAAUUAAAGUAGAAACAUAGAAAUGUGCUAAUUGAUUGAUUUAAACAAUUGUAGUAUAAAAAUCAGAGUAGAACGAUUACUUAUGUGUUACAUAGUUUACGUAAUGGAAAUGAAUACUAGUUUAGUUAGAAUUAUUUUCAAAGUGUGAAAAUGUGUUUUAUUUUGUGUAUAUUAUUUCUAUGCAUCUUUUGAAACCUAUGCAAAUGAAUCCACAAAGUAGAUAUUUUAUCAUUUGCUAAUGACGAUCAUUCAAAUUCUCAGAGGGUUUAGAUUUUCCCCCAGACAAUCUGUUAUAUACUGUAGGGGGAUGUGAGAGAUUAGAAAUGAACCCUGGUCCAGACAGUAAAAUAUGUUGGGAUUUUACAGCGUUUUUCUCAACUGAUUUGGAUUUUUAUAUAUUUUUUUACAAGUGUAUCAAUAUCAAAAUAUGAACAUUGGAAUGUUUUAAUUUGUACGACCGUACGGGGACAUCUAUAGAUCUUCAACGAAUGGAUUGACUAGAAAGUUGCAUAUACAGUUUUCCAAACAAUUAUUUGGGGAUUUCAUGUGAACAUUUUUACUCUAUGCAACUUUUAUAUUUGAACUUUUUUUGUAAUAAAUAAUAUGACUAUCAUUCAGAGCAACUGCAAUUCAUAUUUUGAUUUAUGUCAUGCUUUUGAGGAUUAACUUCCACAAUGUUGAAAAUGUUUCAUAUUUUUUGCACCGUUUCAGACUUCAUUUGAGAAAUUAUACAAUGGCUGUAUACUAAAUAUGUUUUAUAGUGUGAUGUACUGUACGGUUUAACAACCAUGUGUACUCUACAUGAACAACAAAUGUGUACUAUAUGGUAUGGAAUAGCCUGUAAAUAUACUGUAUGUUAUCAAGACCACACGACAUGUAGUUGGUUAUGGGCAAUUUGUUGUGAGGAAUGUACAAUCAAGAGUGCAUGUGGGCACUACAUGAGGAGUGUAAACUUGUAAACAGUCAGCGUGAAGUGUGCGUAGAAUUAUGUAUCAUGUAGAAAGCAAGAGUACAAUAGAUGGAAUGUGUGAAAUGUGUGUGGAGGCGUGCACUACGUUGCGGGUGAAUGCGAUGUUUUAAUGACAAUGUUGGAUUUUAAAGAGAUGUUUGCAGGAGUGCACUAUGGCCCACAAGAUCAUAGACUACAUUAGGCAUGUUUGCAAGUGACCUGUGAAUCCUGACUGUAGGGGACCAACUCAUUCUUGUACCAUGGACUGUGUACUGUGCACGAUUAAGUCAACACAAGAAGUGAUUGCGUUUAAAAAGGUAAAAACACAAAUGUCUAUCUGAAAUUUCUAUCUGUUCAGUCUGUUUUUCAUUGAACCCAGAUCUUCGAAUCAACUCGUAGCCCAGUGU